UGAUUACAGGGUGGUGUUUACCUGUAUAAAGGGAAGCCGGUUUUUCUUGUUGGAUCAUUCCUCCCGAGCUUCUGGUGCGACACAGCAGUAAAUGCUGGCCUAUCGGUUAAUUUUAUGAUCGGAUCGUGUGACUGCUACAGGUAGGCCUCCUUCUGACCUCUGAUUUUUCUCAAAGUCGGUAACUAGUAGUCAUAUUUUUGCGGCCCGCUACAGCACGGCUGUUUCUUUUUUUUUUUUACUCCAGCCGUGGUGGAGAGACGCGUGAGUUGCGUCCACCGUGCAGUACAGCGCCUCCAGUUCUGGGGAUUUGAUUGCUGCCGCACCCUCUCAGGGAUCAACUGCCUGAUUUUAAGCGAAGAGUUGGGACACCUGCCUAGCUGCUGUCUUUUCUUGCCUUGUUUUAUCUUGGGUUCCGAUCUGUUGGUUGUCCAGUUUUGUUCCUGCUGCUUACCUCGCCCCUGGGGGCUUUGGUUCUCACACUAAGCCCCUUUUGGACUAUUGUUUCACUCCAGCUUUCACAGCGGGUCGGGGCGAUCCUCAGCUGCAUAUUGGGCUGGUGUUACAAAACUGGUACUGCCUCUCCCUUUUCUCCCAGUUGUGGAGAGCUGCACGAGACUGAGUGGGGCUACGGACAAUCGGAACCAGCACCAGCUGUGGGCUGGCUCGCAGACGAACUGAGGAUCUACCAGCGGCCGUGGGACCUUAGGUGGCGGGUCGUUUUCCACACUUCUUUUGUUGUACAGCACCAGGUGAAUAGACUAUAGUAGGUUUUUUGUGUGGUUUUCUUUUGGUCCACCGCUGCUGGUAAGUCCCAGUUGUGUGUUUAUUUUUAUUGUAAUUUGGGACACCGUUUUAGACAUUCAGUGCGCUCUCAGUGUUUUGUUUUUAUUUUACAUUAAUAAAUAAAAUUGUGUUAAUAGGCCUCAGUGUGCAUCCCUGAACCUGUGCAAAUGUUGUUUUAAUUACAUUUCAUUUUUAAAGUUUAUAUUUCCUGGGGGCUAGAAUUCCCCCUCAGGUGGCGUUAUCAUUUUAUUAUUUCUUUUAUAACCCCGCCGACCACUUGGUCACAGGUGCGUGGGAUGAAAAGGGGGGAAAAUAAACAAAACACUUGGACACUGCUAGCACGGGGCGCCUACAGAAACG